GACGAACGCUGGCGGCGUGCUUAACACAUGCAAGUCGUACGGUAAGGCCCUUUCGGGGGUCCACGAGUGGCGAACGGGUGAGUAACACGUGAGUAACCUGCCCACAACUUUGGGAUAACGCUAGGAAACUGGUGCUAAUACUGGAUAUGUGCUCCUGCUGCAUGGUGGGGGUUGGAAGGCUCCGGCGGUUGUGGAUGGACUCGCGGCCUAUCAGCUUGUUGGUGGGGUAGUGGCCUACCAAGGCGGCGACGGGUAGCCGGCCUGAGAGGGUGACCGGCCACAUUGGGACUGAGAUACGGCCCAGACUCCUACGGGAGGCAGCAGUGGGGAAUAUUGCACAAGGGGCGCAAGCCGGAUGCAGCAACGCCGCGGGCGGGAGGACGGCCUUCGGGUUGGAAACCGCUUUCAGCAGGGACGAAGCUUUUUGUGACGGUACCUGCAGAAGAAGCACCGGCUAACUACGUG
rnacentral:rRNA from 1 species